GACGAACGCUGGCGGCGUGCUUAACACAUGCAAGUCGAACGGAAAGGCCCUGCUUUUGUGGGGUGCUCGAGUGGCGAACGGGUGAGUAACACGUGAGUAACCUGCCCUUGACUUUGGGAUAACUUCAGGAAACUGGGGCUAAUACCGGAUAGGAGCUCCUGCUGCAUGGUGGGGGUUGGAAAGUUUCGGCGGUUGGGGAUGGACUCGCGGCUUAUCAGCUUGUUGGUGGGGUAGUGGCUUACCAAGGCUUUGACGGGUAGCCGGCCUGAGAGGGUGACCGGCCACAUUGGGACUGAGGUACGGCCCCGACUCCUACGGGAGGCAGCAGUGGGGAAUAUUGCACAAUGGGCGGAAGCCUGAUGCAGCAACGCCGCGGGCGGGAUGACGGCCUUCGGGUUGUAAACCGCUUUCGCCUGGGACGAAGCGUGAGGGACGGUAAUGGGUAAAGAAGAACCGGCUAACUACGUG
rnacentral:rRNA from 1 species